AGCGAACGCUGGCGGCAGGCUUAACACAUGCAAGUCGAGCGGGCACUUCGGUGUCAGCGGCAGACGGGUGAGUAACACGUGGGAACGUACCCUUCGGUUCGGAAUAACGCUGGGAAACUAGCGCUAAUACCGGAUACGCCCUUUUGGGGAAAGGUUUACUGCCGAAGGAUCGGCCCGCGUCUGAUUAGCUAGUUGGUGGGGUAAUGGCCUACCAAGGCGACGAUCAGUAGCUGGUCUGAGAGGAUGAUCAGCCACACUGGGACUGAGACACGGCCCAGACUCCUACGGGAGGCAGCAGUGGGGAAUAUUGGACAAUGGGCGCAAGCAUGAUCCAGCCAUGCCGCGUGAGUGAUGAAGGCCUUAGGGUUGUAAAGCUCUUUUGUCCGGGACGAUAAUGACGGUACCGGAAGAAUAAGCCCCGGCUAACUUCGUG
rnacentral:rRNA from 1 species